UAGCAUACUGAAAGGUAGAUGAUGUCAAUAGCAUGUUUUACAUCAAGGGAGUGGCAUGAUACAAUUUAUAAUUUGGAAAAAUAAUUCUGGCAGCUUAGUGCAAAGUGAACAGGCAUGAAGGAAGGUUGCUGUCAAGGCACUAGUCAAGGGGCUGUUGUAAUAGCCUGGGCAGGAUGUGAAGGUAGUUUGAACAAAGGCUGUGACUGUAGGGAUGGGGAUGAAUAUCAGAAGGUGACAUUUCUGAAGUAAAAUAAUAAGAUGUAGUGUGUUGUUUCCAUGAAUGUACUGAGGAGAGAGAGGAGCUGAGCAUGAUUAGCAGGAUAUUAAGAUAUCAGGUAGGUGGUUUACUCCAUUAUCAGUUGAUGGCCAAGGUCUUUGUCAUUCAGAUUCCCUAAUAAGAUUUAAAAAAAAAAUAAUUUGCAGGUAUGUGGCUGUUAUAAGAGGUUGUCUUCAUGUUUGUGACAAAAAGAUACAGAAAGAAAGGGAAAAAGAGAUCUCAGCCAUUUAUUUAUUCUUGUUUUCAAGUCCCAGUUUGGGAAAUUCAGCAUCUUUAGUCUGUAUCUAUGAGUGAGAGAGAAGUGUCAGUGUCUCAUCAUGGCCCUCAUUUUCUCUGGGUAUGAGGGAACUUUCAUAUGUACUUAACAAAUAUUUGUGGAAUAUUGCAUUUUAAGAGUUGGUAUGCCUGAGUCAGGCGCACGGUAGGCAACAGAAUGUGAUGGGAGCCAUUGAAAAUUGUUCCAUGGCCAGGAGUAUUUCAUAUAAAUUGGCUCUGGAACCAUGAAGCCAAGAUGGAAAAGAGGAAAGUGGUGAAGAUUAUCUUUCUCAUUUCUACAUUAGUGAUAGAAAAGAGAGAAAAGAAAAAAACCCUCAGAUUCUCCUAAUGUUGGAGAAAUCUACCUGAGUUUCCAUGGAUCCAAAAGUAGGUCCUAACCCUCACAAUACCUCAUAGAAGGAGGAAGGCAGUUUAGCUGACUUGAAGCCAGUGGGUUAUAAUUGCAUGUUAAAUAUUUAUUCUUCCCAAUAAAACAGAGGUUUUUAACUGGGUUGCCCAUAAUGUUUAUCUGUAGAACUUCAAAAAACUUCAUAUGCCCAAAACCUAUUCCAAGUGAUUCUGGUACAGAAGGUGUUUUGUUCAGAAUUUCUUUGAUUGAAAGUGAUAGAAAUGCAACUCAAAUCAGCCUCAGCCAACAAUGUAGAAUGAGUUGUGAAUUAUUAUCUAAUGCUCCAUAACAAAUUAACCAACUCAAAACUGAGCAUCUUAAAACACAGUUACCUUGUACAGUUUCUGUGGAUCACGAGUGGAAAGGUUGCUUAGCUGGUGGUUCUGCCUCAGGGUCUCUGAUGAAGUUGAAAUCAAGGUGUCAACUCAGCUUUAGUCAUCUAAAGCCUUGACAGAUUAGAGGACCCAGUUCCAAGGUAGCCCUCCUAUCUGUCACACAGGUUUAUUCACAGGGCUACUUGAGUCUGUUCACAGUAUGCUGGCUUGUUUUUCCCAGAUCAAGCAAUUCUAGGCUGAAGAAGCCCAAUAUCACUUUAUGGCUGGGAUUAAGGUGUCUUUGAGUAGGAGGAGGGGUGUGGUAUUCAGAGGUGGGAUGAUCUGUUGUUGCAAAGGCUGAGGACCAUCCUGAUACAGAAUUUUAGGUCCUAGAGCAAAUAUACCAUAUGUUUCAACAUAAUCAUUCAAUUUAUAGAGGGAAAAUGAUUAAAAUGAGUGUCAAGAGAAGGCUUGAAGGGAGAAGAACAAUAAGAAUAAUAAUUUUUAAAACCUCAAGGCUUAUGUGUGAUUCACCUCUGUGGUGAUGACUUAUAUCUGUCUUAAUAAGCUUUAACAUUUGCAGAUCCCUUUAGAGUUUCUCAGAUGAUUUCAUAACAUCUUAUUUGAUCUUAAGAACAAUCUUAAAGCUGUAGGAUGGAGUCAGGAGGGUUUGGAUUAAAAGAUAGAGCUAAUAAUAAUGAACACCCACCAGGUGCCAAGCAUUUGACUAGAUGUUUUAUAUUCAUAACCUUUUUAACCAGAUGCCAUAAAGUUUAUAUUAGUAAUUUCAAUUUCGAGGGAGGCUUAGCCUUCUUAGAGAAGUUAAAUGAUAUGCUCAUGGCCAAGCAUCUAAGCCAGAAGGAGAACCUAGGUUUUCCUACUCACAGCUUUCCAUUUGGCUUCUUCCCUUUUCAGCAUGACCAACCACUGCUGCCAUUUUCUCUACAUGCUAUGUCCUUGACUUAACCUUCAUCUUAUGGUAGUAUGAGACUCUCCAGAAGAGAAAAGGACCCAAUAAUUGCAGGCCCACACUUAUAAGUACCUUAAGAAUGUUGGAACAAAAAAAAAAAAAAAAAAAGAAGGCAGAGGACAAUAUACUGGGUUAGAAAAGAUAUUUUGUUCACAAUUUAUGCAUAAAUAAAUACAGUUCUCUAGGAAUAUCUAACUUUGUUUGAUUAUUUUAUUUAAAAAAAAUCUAUCUCAAAGCAGACAAUUUGAGUGGCCUCAGAUAACAUCUUGGCAUUUCAUUUUCCUUUGUCAUCAAGUGGGGGAAUAUUUCUUAAGGUUGACCUCACUUUCAUGGAUGUAGAAGGAUUGGUGGCAUGAGAGAUAAGAUGUAUUUUGUGUUCCUACAGGUAUUUGAGUGAAAUAAAUGAUUUCAGGAGGUAAACAUCAUCUCUAUUACUAAUGGCCUCAAACUUCUAAGUGCUUUUAUAACUUACAAAUAUGCUUAAAUGUGAAUUGAAUCAAGGUUUCCAAUGGCAAGAAGUAAAUACUACAUCUCCAUGUUGUUUGUGGUUUAUUAAAAGAAAUACAUAAUAAAAUACCUGAGAUUAUCCAUUGUAGAUAUCGGGUCUUCCACCAAAUAAAUCUGCUAUUUUUAGCAGCUAUAGGCUAGCUAGGCAGUAAGUCCUCAAUCUAGUGUCAGGGUAGUCAUAAGAGGGAGCUCCUUUUCUGAGCUCUGUACAACUUGUGCUUCAGUGAAGACCACAUCAAAAUAGAGGGCUGGAGUUUCUCUCAUCUUACAUAUCCUGCAUAUCCUGGAUUAUAGGACUCAGCCAGUCAUAUAGUCAGUGAAGUCUUAGCCCUUAACUGCUCCUCCUAUUCCAGUCCCACCAAUUGGAUAGUCAAGCAUUCAUGUUAUUGUGGUAGAGUAUAGUGGUUAAGAGCAUGAAAUUGGAAUUAAAAUCUGGUUUUGGCUUGCCACUACUUGUAUGGGUUUGGGCAAGUUAUUUUGCCUCUUUGUGCCUCAGUUUCUUCAUCUGAAAAAUACAGUAUCUUCUAGUAGGAUGUAAUGAGUAUUAAAAUAAUAUAUGCAGGGUGUUUAGAAUGAUGCUUGGUAUCUGGUAAGCACUCUGCAAGUGACAGCUAUUUUUAUUAUUGCAUGUAUUUUUCAGAAAGCUGUUACCUCCUGAAACCUUAAGACUCAGGCAACUGAUGGUUUAAUCAGGGAGUCCAAUAAGCAUUUAUAUGUUGCCCACUGUAAUUAGUAUCAUAGGACAAGACAGAGAAGACGUGAAGAUCAGCAUAGACCUAAAAAAAUAGCUUGGGAGUUCCUGCUGUGGCACAGUGGAAAUGAAUCUGACUAGAUUCCAUGAGGAUGCGGGUUCAGUCCCUGGCCUCUCUCUGUGGGUUAAGGACCUGGCAUUGCCAGGAGUUGUGGUGUAAGAUGAAGACACAGCUCAGAUCUAGCAUUGCUGUGGCUGUGGUGUAGGCCAGCAGCUGCAGCUCCAAUUCAACCUCUAGCCUGGAAACUUCCAUAUGCCACAGGUGCAGCCCUGAAAAGCAAGCAAGCAAGCAAACAAACAAACAAACAAAAAAACCCUUGAGGUGUGAUGUCAUCAAUCCCUGAGCCUUUCCAUCUAUUCUACCACAUUCCUCAUUUUUUAAAAUAGGAAGAGACAAAAAAUGAACACUAGGCCAACCAAGUUCCAAGAGUUCCUGCUGGGUCUACCUUUUACAAACAGGGAGAGGGAGAGGAGGCAGAGAGAGAGAGAUAGGGUGGGAGAGGAGGAAAGGGAGAGAGAGGGAAAGAAAGGAAUAGAACAGGAACUCUCUCUAUCCUGUUGAAUAUGGAGUCUUGAGUUGAGCAUCCUACAGAUUCCAGGUACUCCUCUGUCAGCCUCCUAGUAUGUUGAUUUCUGUGAUAUUAUGAUAAUGAAUCACAGAGUGGUCCAAAGUUAGAAGGCUACUCUGACUGGUUUUGGAUUUUGAGCUAUGAAGCCCUUACAUAGUAUAUAAAUUGGGUGGCCAAAAGCUGUAGAGUUGUAUUUGCAAGCUAAGUACAGUGACAACAGCAGGCCAGGUCACAGAGUUUCAGGACUAGCUUCAUAACACAGAGUAGCAUGGUGGCUAAGAGCUCACUGUUUGGAGUCAUGAUGACUUGGGUUCCAACAAAUGUUAGCAAUGUGACUCUGGGUAGUUACCUUAGCUUUCAAAGCCUCAGAUUUAUAUAGUUGUUAUAAGGAUUAAAUAAAGUAAUGAAUGUAAAGUACUGUCAAAACAUACUUUCCAAAAAGUUAAAAACCACGACUCCCACACAAAUAUAAAGUGAACAUGUGUCAAAGAAUCAUUUCACAUGUUAAUAAGAAUUGGCAAGAUGGUAAGGCUGGUUUUAAAGAAAACUGGGGAGAGCCAAGUAUUUAUGGUGGUGAUGGAGAAAGGCUUGAAUAAGAUGGCUGAUUUAGAUGCAAAUUAGAUUAAUGUAUAGGGCAAUUAAACUGUAACUUUUCAGGUUGUCCUCUUUAGAAAUAAUUUGCAUUCCCAGUGAACAGAUUUAAUUUUCAUCGCUAUCAUCAGUUGUUCUCAAGUGGGGGUGACUUCUCCAUCCAGAGGACAUUUGGUAAUGUCUGAAACUAUUUUUGGUUGUUAUAAUGGGGUGGGGGAGGGCAGUGCUACUAGCAGCUAGUGGGUAGAGAACAGGGAGGGUCCUAAACACCCUUCAAUGCACAGGACAGCCCCUCAUAGCAAAGAAUUACCCUGCCAUAAAUGCCAAUAGGGCUGAGGUUGAGAAACCUUGACUAUCAAUUUUCACACAUUAACACCCACUCUUAUGAAUUUUAAAAUAUCCUAAUCAGGAGAAAAUAGCAAGUCAAGCAAAGAUACACACUCCUAGAGAAUUGGCUAACCUUUGAUGGUUCGGUGGGUUGGCUAGAAAGUGCUUAGAUAAGUCUGAAAGGACAUACAGCAACCUUUUUGCCUAGUUCUGUUUUGGAAAAUUUUCUUAACAAUAUUUGACACCAUACCUCAAAUAUGGUAGUAGUGCUCAAUAAAGGACAGUUAUUACUGUAAAUUUACAUGCCAUUAGAUAGAAGUCCAAACACCCACACAGUAAAAUAAAUACCAUACUUUUACAGAAGCAUCGUUGCUGUUGGAAAUUAUUUUCCUGUUAGAUUGUUUCAUUUGUUCACUUGGAAGUUUUAAGAAAGUCCCCCAAUGUAACCUUCAGACUUACAGAAGAUCUG
rnacentral:lncRNA from 1 species